GCCUCUGAUCUCUCACCCCAAACACCAGAGCCCAGAGCGGGGAGAUGGCCAGUCUUUUCCUAUCCAAGUCUUCCAGUGGCCCCUGGCUCCUCUACUACAUGGCCCUCUGUCUUCUGAGGGCAGGUACAGUGGCUGCUGGAAUCACCCAGUCCCCAAGACACAUAAUCAAAGGUCGUGGGGGGAAGGCCAUUCUGAAAUGCCAGCCCAUCUCUGGACACAGAAGUGUGUACUGGUACCAGCAGACUCUGGGACAUGGCCCCCAGUUCCUCAUUAGUUUGUAUGAAAAGGAGGAGGAACAGAAAGGAAACAUCCCAGAUCGGUUCUCAGCAAAACAGUUCAGUGACUACAGCUCUGAGCUGGCCAUGAGCGCCUUGCAGCUGGGAGACUCAGCGGUGUAUCUCUGUGCCAGCAGCUUAGACACAGCCCUGCAGGGUCAAUGGCUUUCUGUACUCAAACCUCCCUGCCCCAGCUGA